rfam:Lactobacillus mellis strain Hon2 genomic scaffold Hon2_scaffold2, whole genome shotgun sequence.
GCGGUAUUGGUGAAGCUGGUUAACACACCGGUUUGUGGCACCGGCAUACAUGAGUUCGAGUCUCAUAUACCGCC